rnacentral:rRNA from 1 species
CCUACGGGCGGCUGCAGUGGGGAAUAUUGGACAAUGGGGGGAACCCUGAUCCAGCCAUGCCGCGUGUGUGAAGAAGGCCUUUUGGUUGUAAAGCACUUUAAGCGAGGAGGAGGCUACCGAGAUUAAUACUCUUGGAUAGUGGACGUUACUCGCAGAAUAAGCACCGGCUAACUCUGUGCCAGCAGCCGCGGUAAUACAGAGGGUGCAAGCGUUAAUCGGAUUUACUGGGCGUAAAGCGCGCGUAGGUGGCCAAUUAAGUCAAAUGUGAAAUCCCCGAGCUUAACUUGGGAAUUGCAUUCGAUACUGGUUGGCUAGAGUAUGGGAGAGGAUGGUAGAAUUCCAGGUGUAGCGGUGAAAUGCGUAGAGAUCUGGAGGAAUACCGAUGGCGAAGGCAGCCAUCUGGCCUAAUACUGACACUGAGGUGCGAAAGCAUGGGGAGC